AUGGUGGUGAAACUAAUAGAUGGUCGUUGGGAGGUAAUAUACUAUGUUGGUGAGCACAACCAUAAGUUGGUAGACAAGCCAUCUUUGAAGAAGUACUUGCGAUCACACCAAGGGAUACCUCCAGAAGAAAGGGCAUUCCUAACACAUCAUCACGACUGCAAUUUAACUACAGGUGAAAAUGAUUGGCGUAUGAUUGGCACAGAGCUGAUCGUCCCCUAUGGUACUAAGCACAUUAAAAACCUCAAGACAAUGUUAAACAAAGAUGCCACCAAAGAAGGAGAUAUGAUUGAGACAGUUGCCUACUUCAAAGAUCAACAA
rnacentral:rRNA from 1 species